AUUGAACGCUGGCGGCAGGCCUAACACAUGCAAGUCGAACGGUAACAGGAAACAGCUUGCUGUUUCGCUGACGAGUGGCGGACGGGUGAGUAAUGUCUGGGAAACUGCCUGAUGGAGGGGGAUAACUACUGGAAACGGUAGCUAAUACCGCAUCACGUCGCAAGACCAAAGAGGGCGACCUUCGGGCCUCUUGCCAUCGGAUGUGCCCAGAUGGGAUUAGCAAGUAGGUGGGGUAACGGCUCACCUAGGCGACGAUCCCUAGCUGGUCUGAGAAGAGGACCAGCCACACUGGAACUGAGACACGGUCCAGACUCCGACGGGAGGCAGCAGUGGGGAAUAUUGCACAAUGGGCGCAAGCCUGAUGCAGCCAUGCCGCGUGUAUGAAGAAGGCCUUCGGGUUGUAAAGCACUUUCAGCGGGGAGGAAGGGAGUAAAGUUAAUACCUUUGCUCAUUGACGUUACCCGCAGAAGAAGCACCGGCUAACUCCGUGCCAGCCGCCGCCGUAA
rnacentral:rRNA from 1 species